rnacentral:rRNA from 1 species
UUAACACAUGCAAGUCGAACGCUCCGCAAGGAGAGUGGCAGACGGGUGAGUAACGCGUGGGAACAUACCCCUCGGUUCGGAAUAACUCAGGGAAACUUGAGCUAAUACCGAAUACGGUCGAGAGGCGAAAGAUUUAUCGCCGGAGGAUUGGCCCGCGUUCGAUUAGCUUGUUGGUGAGGUAACGGCUCACCAAGGCGAAUGAAUCGAUAGCCUGGUCUGAGAGGAUGAUCAGCCACAUUGGGACUGAGACACGGCCCAAACUCCUACGGGAGGCAGCAGUGGGGAAUAUUGGACAAUGGGCGCAAGCCUGAUCCAGCCAUGCCGCGUGAGUGAUGACGGCCUUAGGGUUGUAAAGCUCUUUCGCUCGGGACGAUAAUGACGGUACCGAGAUAAGAAGCCCCGGCUAACUUCGUGCCAGCAGCCGCGGUAAU